rnacentral:rRNA from 1 species
UGAGUGAAGAAGGGUUUCGGCUCGUAAAGCUCUGUUGUUAAAGAAGAACGUGGGUGAGAGUAACUGUUCACCCAGUGACGGUAUUUAACCAGAAAGCCACGGCUAACUACGUGCCAGCAGCCGCGGUAAUACGUAGGUGGCAAGCGUUAUCCGGAUUUAUUGGGCGUAAAGCGAGCGCAGGCGGUCUUUUAAGUCUAAUGUGAAAGCCUUCGGCUCAACCGAAGAAGUGCAUUGGAAACUGGGAGACUUGAGUGCAGAAGAGGACAGUGGAACUCCAUGUGUAGCGGUGAAAUGCGUAGAUAUAUGGAAGAACACCAGUGGCGAAGGCGGCUGUCUGGUCUGUAACUGACGCUGAGGCUCGAAAGCAUGGGUAGCGAACAGGAUUAGAUACCCUGGUAGUCCAUGCCGUAAACGAUGAUUACUAAGUGUUGGAGGGUUUCCGCCCUUCAGUGCUGCAGCUAACGCAUUAAGUAAUCCGCCUGGGGAGUACGACCGCAAGGUUGAAACUCAAAAGAAUUGACGGGGGCCCGCACAAGCGGUGGAGCAUGUGGUUUAAUUCGAAGCUACGCGAAGAACCUUACCAGGUCUUGACAUCUUCUGCCAACCUAAGAGAUUAGGCGUUCCCUUCGGGGACAGAAUGACAGGUGGUGCAUGGUUGUCGUCAGCUCGUGUCGUGAGAUGUUGGGUUAAGUCCCGCAACGAGCGCAACCCUUAUUACUAGUUGCCAGCAUUCAGUUGGGCACUCUAGUGAGACUGCCGGUGACAAACCGGAGGAAGGUGGGGACGACGUCAAAUCAUCAUGCCCCUUAUGACCUGGGCUACACACGUGCUACAAUGGAUGGUACAACGAGUCGCGAAACCGCGAGGUUUAGCUAAUCUCUUAAAACCAUUCUCAGUUCGGACUGUAGGCUGCAACUCGCCUACACGAAGUCGGAAUCGCUAGUAAUCGCGGAUCAGCAUGCCGCGGUGAAUACGUUCCCGGGCCUUGUACACACCGCCCGUCACACCAUGAGAGUUUGUAACACCCAAAGCCGGUGGGGUAACCUUUUAGGAGCUAGCCGUCUAA